UAGGGAAUCUUCCGCAAUGGACGAAAGUCUGACGGAGCAACGCCGCGUGAGUGAAGAAGGGUUUCGGCUCGUAAAACUCUGUUGUCAGGGAAGAAUGCCGACGGGAGUAACUGCCCGUCGGGUGACGGUACCUGACCAGAAAGCCACGGCUAACUACGUGCCAGCAGCCGCGGUAAUACGUAGGUGGCAAGCGUUAUCCGGAAUUAUUGGGCGUAAAGCGCGCGUAGGCGGUUCGUUAAGUCUGAUGUGAAAGCCCCCGGCUCAACCGGGGAGGGUCAUUGGAAACUGGCGGACUUGAGUGCAGAAGAGGAGAGUGGAAUUCCAUGUGUAGCGGUGAAAUGCGCAGAGAUAUGGAGGAACACCAGUGGCGAAGGCGGCUCUCUGGUCUGCAACUGACGCUGAGGUGCGAAAGCGUGGGGAUCAAACAGGAUUAGAUACCCUGGUA
rnacentral:rRNA from 1 species